GAUGAAGAACGUAGCGAAAUGCGAUAAGUAGUGUGAAUUGCAGAAUUCAGUGAAUCAUCGAAUCUUUGAGCGCACAUUGCGCCCCUUGGUAUCCCGAGGGGCAUGCCUGUUCGAGCGUCAUUUCACCACUCAAGCCUGGCUUGGUGUUGGGCGACGUCCUCUUUGGGGACGCGCCUCGAAACGCUCGGCGGCGUGGCACCGGCUUUAAGCGUAGCAGAAUCUUUCGCUUUGGAAGUCGGGGCCCCGUCUGCCGGAAGACCUGCUCGCAAGGUUGACCUCGGAUCAGGCAGGGAUACCCGCUGAACUUAAGCAUAUCAAUAAGCGGAGGA
rnacentral:misc_RNA from 1 species